GUGGUUGUAGCUCAGUAGUAGAGCACUUGCCUAGUAUGUGUGAGGCACUGGGUUCAAUCCUCACAACUACA
rnacentral:tRNA from 1 species